rnacentral:lncRNA from 1 species
GGAAAAGAUGAUCAAAGCAAGUGUAGUUGAAAAAGGCCUUUACAAUUGCAGGUCUAACUGAAUGAAAUUUAGCUUAGUUAUAAUCAAAAAAUGAGUCUUGCUAAACAAGAAAAGAAAAGAGAAAUUUGGGAAAAGGAGCACACUAUGACCCCCGAUCCCCUCACGUAAAUAAAAUAAAAAACAGUGUUUUUACUCUUUGGGGCAUUAUAGAAAAAUCUCUCACCUUUCACUCAAAAUAUGGAUAACUUUCUGUCAAGAGGUCUAUAAUUCUCUUUGACAGCUACAGACAUAAUAAUUUUGUACCUUUUUCAGCUAGACAAAAUCCUUUACGUUAACUUAAAAUGCACGAGUCAAACACUGCCAAAGUUUGUUUUACAAGUAAAUUCUUCUCUCUUCUUAUAUAAAAAAUAUGGGAUAUAUAUGAUUUUAUUCUAAUUAUUCGUUAUCCACAUUAGACUAUAUACUAGUAUGAAGAAAACAACAAUUUCAAUUACCAGUAACAAGAUUAGGCCCUAACACUAAAGAUUUCAAAGAUGUGCUACCCCCUGGUGAUGCUGAAGAUAAUAUUACACGCACACACAAAUAUUAU